GGGCCGAGGAGCAUGAAGUCUGUCGCUAUAAAGAGGCCCUUGAACAAUGUCGGCAGCUGUAUUGGCGGAGAGACCUGGAACGCGCCUUGUACCUGCUCGUAAGGAGGGUGCUGCACUUGGGGGUGCAGAUGCUGAUGCUGAGCUGUGGGCUGCAGCAGAUGCAGGAUGGGGAGCUCACCCAGGGCAGCCUGCUUUCCUUUAUGAUCUACCAGGAGAGCGUGGGGAGCUAUGUGCAGGUGAGCGAGAAGCCAAGCCUGCUCUCCUUUUUUCCCCUC
rnacentral:sRNA from 1 species